ACUAGCAGUAAGAGUUUGAUCCUGGCUCAGGACGAACGCUGGCGGCACGCCUAACACAUGCAAGUCGAACGGCCCCUUCGGGGGCAGUGGCGGACGGGUGAGUAACGCGUGGGAACCUGCCCCUUGGUUCGGGACAACCCGGGAAACCCGGGCUAAUACCGGAUGCGCUCCUGGCUUUGGCUGGGAGGAAAGAUUGAUCGCCGAGGGAUGGGCCCGCGUCGGAUUAGGUUGUUGGUGAGGUAACGGCUCACCAAGCCUACGAUCCGUAGCUGGUCUGAGAGGAUGAUCAGCCACACUGGGACUGAGACACGGCCCAGACUCCUACGGGAGGCAGCAGUGGGGAAUCUUGGACAAUGGACGCAAGUCUGAUCCAGCGAUGCCGCGUGAGCGAUGAAGGCCUUAGGGUUGUAAAGCUCUUUCGCCCGCGACGAUGAUGACGGUAGCGGGAGAAGAAGCCCCGGCUAACUCCGUGCCAGCCGCCGCGGUAAUAC
rnacentral:rRNA from 1 species